rnacentral:rRNA from 1 species
AUUGAACGCUGGCGGCAGGCCUAACACAUGCAAGUCGAACGAGUGGCGGACGGGUGAGUAAUGUCUGGGAAACUGCCUGAUGGAGGGGGAUAACUACUGGAAACGGUAGCUAAUACCGCAUACCAUCAGAUGUGCCCAGAUGGGAUUGGCUUGUUGGGGGGGUAACGGCUCACCAGGGCGACGAACCCUAGCUGGUCUGAGAGGAUGACCAGACACACUGGAACUGAGACACGGUCCAGAAUCCUACGGGAGGCAGAAGUGGGGAAUAUUGCACAAUGGGCGCAAGCCUGAUGCAGCCAUGCCGCGGGUAUGAAGAAGGCCUUCGGGUUGGAAAGUACUUUCAGCGGGGGGGCGUUACCCGCAUAAGAAGAACCGGCUAACUCCGUGCCAGCCGCCGCGGUAAUAC